UACGUAGGGUGCAAGCGUUAAUCGGAAUUACUGGGCGUAAAGCGUGCGCAGGCGGUGAUGUAAGACAGAUGUGAAAUCCCCGGGCUCAACCUGGGAACUGCAUUUGUGACUGCAUCGCUGGAGUACGGCAGAGGGGGAUGGAAUUCCACGUGUAGCAGUGAAAUGCGUAGAGAUGUGGAGGAACACCGAUGGCGAAGGCAGCCCCCUGGGCCAAUACUGACGCUCAUGCACGAAAGCGUGGGGAGCAAACAGG
rnacentral:rRNA from 1 species